rnacentral:lncRNA from 1 species
GACUGCACUGCCAGGUGGCGGGGAGGUGGCGGGAGAAAGGACGGCUCAGGAGUCUGGUUUCAGACGCUGGCUGGGUGACAUUGCUGCUCCUCAAAGCAAGUACCAAGCUAGAGGACCUGUCCUGGAGGCCUGGACCAGGAUGUGGCCUGGGGCCAUUUGAGGUGAGAGACGUGGAAGAGAAGAAACCAGUCCGAGUUUCUUCUGGUUUCUUCUCUUCUUUUUCUUUGGUUUCUUCUGGUUUCUUCUUUUCAGCCAGACGGGGAGAGGGGUAGGUGGCUGGGACGCACGCAGGUGUAAGUUGGCAAGGGCCACACACUGUGUCCCACGGGCAGCAGCUCAAACAGCACACGUUCAUCCUCUCACAGCUCUUGAGGCCAGAAGUCCAAGAUGGAGACAGGGGCAGGGCGGGUGUCUCCAGAGCUGGCUCCCUGCCCCUUCGCGGGCCGUCCUCUGCCGUCUCCCCUGGCUUCUCUGCACUCCAGCUGCAGACAGAUGGGGACCCACCAGAGGACCUCGCUUCACCUUCAUCCUGCAUGCAGGACACACACGUGUGUGCGUGAGUGUGCAGAACUCGGGACACAGGCAAACAGAGCAACGGCUGUUUGAGGCCUGCAACUGCAGGGUUUUAUUCCAUCAGUAAAGAUGUACAUCUCCCAGGACUUAGGGCUUCCCGAUAAAUGUAAUCGAGUUUUAAAGAUAAAACUGGACUUAUUAAAGGUACAGCUUUCCAUAGGUGUGUUUUUUUGCCCCUGAAUUACGUACAAUCUCCUUAUUUUUGUUAUUAUAGUGUUGAAGUGGAUGGAGGUCUCCUGUUUUAAUAUUCUUUUUUUUCCACUGAGCCACAUCCCCAGCCCUUUUUGUAUUUUAUUUAGAGACAGGGUCUCACUGAGUUGCUUAAGGGCCUCACUAAAUUGCUGAGGCUGACUGAUCUUGUGAUUGUUAGGAUGGCCUUAGGCCUGAGACUAAGCAACUCCAUUUUAAAAACUCCAGUUUAACCUGCCGUUCACCAGGCACACCACAGAGCCCUCCAGUGUGGCCUCAGAAAAGUCACCUCCCCUCACCCUGAUAAACAGAGGGAAGCCCCUGGCAGGCUGUCCUUGCCUGAUAAGAGGGAAAAGUGAGAAGAUCAGGGUGGAGACCACCAGACCAGACGUUUCUGACCCCAGGGUAAAUGAUGUCACUGAGAAAUCCAGUGGUAGCUGAUAAGGAUUGAAAGACGGGUCAAAAAAAAAAAAACAAAAUUUAGUAUAAAUGAUAGAGCAAAGGAACAAGGAUGCCCUCGAGCUGGAGAGCCUGCUGAGGACCUGACGUCCCAUCACUGUCAUCAUUCCCUGAGCCUCCGCCUGAUCCUCACUGCUCUCACUCUCUACAGCCUCAUCUGGACCUUGGUGAGAGCCGCAACGCCUCCCUAAGACCCCCUCCUCGACUGGGCGUCCACUCCACACCAGGAAAAGCCUGCUUUGGUUCCAGACCUGAUCCCCAUGGUCUGAGUGAGUGUGCAUCUGCUGGACAUAAAGCCUAACGCUUGAGACUUUUGAGCUUAGCACGCAGAGGGAAUGUCUGUCACGAGCCUGUCAUGAUCAAGUGCGUUUGCAGUGCUUAGAAAUAAUCUAGAAUUGUUUGUUGUGAAUUAAUUCAUCUAGAAUUGUUUGCUGUGAAUUGAUUAUGGCUAUUGCAGUGCCUAGCAUUAAGGAUUGUCGUUUUCUUGAUUAAGAACCUGUAGAGUGAAAUUGUAUGGAGUAAUUUGAGUGAAUAAAGCACUGAAAGAGGCACAAGG